rnacentral:rRNA from 1 species
GUAGUCAUAUGCUUGUCGUCAAAGAUUAACCCAGCCAUGUUUAAGAAUAACCAAUUAUACCGUGAAACUGCGAAUGGCUCAUUAAAUCAGUUAUCGUUUAUUUGAUAGUACCUUACUACUUGGAUAACCGUGGUAAUUCUAGAGCUAAUACAUGCUAAAAACCCCGACUUCGGAAGGGGUGUAUUUAUUAGAUAAAAAACCAAUGCCCUUCGGGGCUCCUUGGUGAUUCAUAAUAACUUAACGAAUCGCAUGGCCUUGCGCCGGCGAUGGUUCAUUCAAAUUUCUGCCCUAUCAACUUUCCAUGGGAGGGUAUUGGCCUAACCUGGUUUCCACGGGUAACGGGGAAU